rnacentral:rRNA from 1 species
UACGGGGGGGGCAAGCGUUGUUCGGAAUUACUGGGCGUAAAGGGCUCGUAGGUGGCCAACUAAGUCAGACGUGAAAUCCCUCGGCUUAACCGGGGAACUGCGUCUGAUACUGGAUGGCUUGAGUUCGGGAGAGGGAUGCGGAAUUCCAGGUGUAGCGAUGAAAUGCGUAGAUAUCUGGAGGAACACCGGUGGCGAAGGCGGCAUCCUGGACCGACACUGACACUGAGGAGCGAAAGCCAGGGGAGCAAACGGG